rnacentral:rRNA from 1 species
GGCGAACGGGUGAGUUAAUGCAUCGGAACGUGCCCAGUCGUGGGGGAUAACGCAGCGAAAGUUGUGCUAAUACCGCAUACGAUCUAUGGAUGAAAGCGGGGGACCUUCGGGCCUCGCGCGAUUGGAGCGGCCGAUGUUAGAUUAGGUAGUUGGUGGGGUAAAGGCUCACCAAGCCAACGAUCUAUAGCUGGUCUGAGAGGACGACCAGCCACACUGGAACUGAGACACGGUCCAGACUCCUACGGGAGGCAGCAGUGGGGAAUUUUGGACAAUGGGCGAGAGCCUGAUCCAGCAAUACCGCGUGCAGGAAGAAGGCCCUCGGGUUGUAAACUGCUUUUGUACGGAACGAAACGGCGCGCUCUAAUAAAGUGCGCUAAUGACGGUACCGUAAGAAUAAGCACCGGCUAACUACGUGCCAGCAGCCGCGGUAAUACGUAGGGUGCAAGCGUUAAUCGGAAUUACUGGGCGUAAAGCGUGC